GAGUAGUCUUUUAGAAUGUUAUGCAAACUUGAAAUAUUUUCUAUCUUGUUAUAAUUUUCAGAUUCUAUUAGAUGACUAAAUCGCUCUCCUUUGUUGCUGUAAGAAAUUUCUUUCAUUAAUAACUCACAAACACUCAAUACUUUACUAACAAUUUUUAUUGAAUGACGAGCCAAUUAUAUUUCCGAUUUCACCAAAAUUAAUUAGAAUCAAAAACAUCGCCUUUGAAAAUGAAUGAACACUGGAGCAAAAAAAAUUAAACCACUGGCAGCAAAUAAUAACAAUAAAUCUGAUCCAAACCUUCUACCCAGGACAUGUGUAACCACUAUUCCAAUAAAAGCAUUUGAAAAGAAGAGAAAAUGAAAAAUCAAAGUCUAGUAUGAUCUGUCAAACACAGGAAGAUCCUGUAACGAAUCAAGCGAUGGCAUUAAUGCAUCUUUAACCUCAGGCCCACUGCAGGAGUUCUGUUGGAUUGAACAUUUAUUCAGUCUGUGGAGAACUAACAAUCAACAACCAAUCAUAGAUGAACUCACACUUUACCCAUAAUAAGCAAACUAAAAAGAUGCGAUCGCUCUCUCUUCACUUGCAGUGAGUGGGACUUCGUUUUGAUAAAAUGGCUUUGUAUUACCAAACAUAAGUCUUUACAGAAAUAAUAUAGACAGCUAAACACAUCAGUCUACAAUCUGUUCAUGUGAAACAAUGGGGGGGGGUUCAAAAAAUGAUACUGAACAAGCUUGUAUCAAAAAUGUACACGCAAUGAAAGACAAUUUGGCCGCCAAGCAUCAAUCGCUUCCCAGAGAAUUCCCUGAUGCACGUCCACUCCCGAUAAACUUCAGGUCACCCGCGGCGACUGGAAUAAAUCGCCGAGGCAAAGCAAAAUGUCAGGGGCCGGAGGUUCUGAUGUCAGGAAGAAGUUCUGGGUCCCUGAAUUUACAGGCAGAGUUUACUCAAUGAGCUUCUUGGCUUUGAAGAAGCGGCGCAGGUAGAAGACCUGCCACGUAGAGCUUAUGUUGAUUCGUUUACCAGACCACGUUUAUUAAGGGAUACUCCAUCCCAAAAUGAAAAUUUCGUCAUUAAUCACUUACCCCCAUGUUGCUCCAAACCCAUAAAAGCUCAGUUUGUCCUCGGAACACAAUUUAAGAUAUUUUGGAUGAAAACCGGGAGGCCUGUGAAUGUCCCAUAGACUGCCAAGUAAAUAACAGUGUCAAGGUCCAUAAAAGGUAUGAAAGUCAUCAUCAGAAUACUCCAUCUGCCAUCAGACGUGCAAUCUGGGUUAUAUGAAGCGAUGGGGACACUUCGCAUCAGACGUGAAGAAAACGUAUGCUGCGUAUGCGAUUCUGUGUCAUCCACGCCACAAGGAUGCACUGUUUCUACAUGUAUUUAGCUUUGAUUUGAAAUAAAACAGCGCAUCCUUGUGUCGCGGAUGACACAG
rnacentral:lncRNA from 1 species